AACGAACGCUGGCGGCAUGCCUAACACAUGCAAGUCGAACGAGACCUUCGGGUCUAGUGGCGCAUGGGUGCGUAACGCGUGGGAACCUGCCCUUAGGUUCGGAAUAACUCCCCGAAAGGGGUGCUAAUACCGGAUAAUGUCUUCGGACCAAAGAUUUAUCGCCUUUGGAUGGGCCCGCGUUGGAUUAGCUAGUUGGUAGGGUAAAAGCCUACCAAGGCGACGAUUCAUAGCUGGUCUGAGAGGAUGAUCAGCCACACUGGGACUGAGACACGGCCCAGACUCCUACGGGAGGCAGCAGUGGGGAAUAUUGGACAAUGGGCGAAAGCCUGAUCCAGCAAUGCCGCGUGAGUGAUGAAGGCCUUAGGGUUGUAAAGCUCUUUUACCCGGGAUGAUAAUGACAGUACCGGGAGAAUAAGCUCCGGCUAACUCCGUG
rnacentral:rRNA from 1 species